GAUGAACGCUGGCGGCGUGCCUAAUACAUGCAAGUCGAGCGAACAGACGCGGAGCUUGCUCCUCUGACGUUAGCGGCGGACGGGUGAGUAACACGUGGAUCACCUCCCUAUCUGACUGGGAUCACUUCGGGACACCGGCGCUAAUACCGGAUAAUAUAUUGCUCCGCAUGGUUCAAUGGUGAAAGACGGCUUUGCUGUCACUUAUCGCUGCAUCCCCGCCGCAUUAGCUAGUUGGUACGGUAACGGCUUACCACGGCGACGAUGCGUGGCCGACCUGAGAGAGGGAUCGGCCACACGGGAAGUGGGACACGGUCCAUAGUCCUACGGGAGGGAGCAGUAGGGAAUGGUACGCAAUGGGCGAAAGCCUGACGGAGCAGGGCGGCGUGAGUGAUGACGGUCUUCGGAUCGGAAAACUCUGUUAUGAGGGAAGAACAAAUGUGUAAGUAACUAUGCACGUCUUGACGGUACCUAAUCAGAAAGCCACGGCUAACUACGUG
rnacentral:rRNA from 1 species